AAGACCUUACUUCAUAGGAUCAUUUCUAUAGUAAGCGCUUCCUGAGUCUUCCACAAUAUGUCGAUGAUCGUUCACUUCCCUUUGCGGGGGAGAGUGGGGUGUUUGUCGCUGUCUGAGUGGU
rnacentral:snoRNA from 1 species